rnacentral:rRNA from 1 species
GACGAACGCUGGCGGCGUGCUUAACACAUGCAAGUCGAACGGAAAGGCCCUGCUUUUGUGGGGUGCUCGAGUGGCGAACGGGUGAGUAACACGUGAGUAACGUGCCCUUGACUUUGGGAUAACUUCAGGAAACUGGGGCUAAUACCGGAUAGGAGCUCCUGAUGCAUGGUGGGGGUUGGAAAGUUUCGGCGGUUGGGGAUGGACUCGCGGCUUAUCAGCUUGUUGGUGGGGUAGUGGCUUACCAAGGCUUUGACGGGUAGCCGGCCUGAGAGGGUGACCGGCCACAUUGGGACUGAGAUACGGCCCAGACUCCUACGGGAGGCAGCAGUGGGGAAUAUUGCACAAUGGGCGGAAGCCUGAUGCAGCAACGCCGCGUGCGGGAUGACGGCCUUCGGGUUGUAAACCGCUUUCGCCUGUGACGAAGCGUGAGUGACGGUAAUGGGUAAAGAAGCACCGGCUAACUACGUG